AACUUUUGUCAAUGGAUCACUUGGUUCUGGCAUCGAUGCAGAACGCAGCGAAAUGCGAUAAGUAAUGUGAAUUGCGGAAUUCAGUGAAUCAUCGAAUCUUUGAACGCACAUUGCGCCCGCUAGUAUUCUGGCGGGCAUGCCUGACCGAGCGUCAUUUCAACCCUCAAGCCCCUCCGGGGGCCUGGCGUGGGGGAUGGGCCCCGCUCCGGCGGCCGGCCCCGAAAUGUAGUGGCGGUCUCGCCGCUGCCUCCUCUGCGUAGUAGAAACACCUCGCAUUGGGACGCGGCGGGCCCACGCCGUUAACCAGAUGAAUUUUUUCUUAAGAUUGACCUCGGAUCAGGUAGGAAUACCCGCUGAACUUAAGCAUAUCAAUAAGCGGAGGCU
rnacentral:misc_RNA from 1 species